rnacentral:rRNA from 1 species
UUGCACCACAUGUGUUUUUUAUUGAACAAAUUUCUUUGGUGGCGGGAGCAAUCCUACCGCCAGAGGUUAUAACUAAACCAAACUUUUUAUUUACAGUCAAACUUGAUUUAUUAUUACAAUAGUCAAAACUUUCAACAACGGAUCUCUUGGUUCUCGCAUCGAUGAAGAACGCAGCGAAAUGCGAUACGUAAUAUGAAUUGCAGAUAUUCGUGAAUCAUCGAAUCUUUGAACGCACAUUGCGCCCUUUGGUAUUCCAAAGGGCAUGCCUGUUUGAGCGUCAUUUCUCCCUCAAACCCCCGGGUUUGGUGUUGAGCAAUACGCUAGGUUUGUUUGAAAGAAUUUAACGUGGAAACUUAUUUUAAGCGACUUAGGUUUAUCCAAAACGCUUAUUUUGCUAGUGGCCACCACAAUUUAUUUCAUAACUUUGACCUCAAAUCAGGUAGGACU